rnacentral:rRNA from 1 species
GUAGGUGGCAAGCGUUGUCCGGAAUUAUUGGGCGUAAAGCGCGCGCAGGCGGGUCCUUUAAGUCUGGUGUGAAAGCCCACGGGCUCAACCGUGGAGGGUCAUUGGAAACUGGGGGACUUGAGUACAGAAGAGGAAAGCGGAACUCCAAGUGUAGCGGUGAAAUGCGUAGAGAUUUGGAGGAACACCAGUGGCGAAGGCGGCUUUCUGGUCUGUAACUGACGCUGAGGCGCGAAAGCGUGGAGAGCAAACAGGAUUAGAUACCCUGGUAGUCCACGCCGUAAACGAUGAGUGCUAAGUGUUAGGGGGUUUCCGCCCCUUAGUGCUGCAGCUAACGCAUUAAGCACUCCGCCUGGGGAGUACGGCCGCAAAGGCUG